UACAGAGGGUGCAAGCGUUGUUCGGAAUUAUUGGGCGUAAAGCGCGUGUAGGCGGCCUUGCAAGUCGGGUGUGAAAGCCCUCAGCUCAACUGAGGAAGCGCGCCCGAAACUGCAGAGCUUGAGUACCGGAGAGGAUGGCGGAAUUCCCCAAGUAGAGGUGAAAUUCGUAGAUAUGGGGAGGAACACCGGUGGCGAAGGCGGCCUGCUGGGCAGUGGCUGACGCUGAGGCGCGACAGCGUGGGGAGCAAACAGG
rnacentral:rRNA from 1 species